AAGGAAUCAGGAGGCAGAGCACAUGGUUAAAGCAUGAGAUGUGAAACCAGGAAGAACCAGGUCUGAACCUUAGCUCCACCAGUGGUAGCUUCAAACCUUGGUCCUUUCUGAGCCUGCUUCUUCAACCGUAAGGGAACGCUACACUUCCUUAGAAAUUAAGAGUGUGUGCUACACUGCUUUACCAGAGCAAGGCCAAAAGCAGCUUCAAUUAUGGUACAACUGUGUGAAGACACAAUGCAAAACCACUCAAGAAUGCUCACUCAAAUGGAUUUUUACCAUGGAACUCGGAAACGGGACCCAGAAAGUUGUUUUCUCAAGUGGAUGGAACAACACAAGCAAUCACUGCAGUUUACUGACAAGAUCAAAGAUGGUAGUAUAUCUCUGGUUUAUAGAAGAAAUUUACAUUUCUCUAAAAGCUUUUGAUAAACUUAACAAUUCAAAAGAAA
rnacentral:lncRNA from 10 species